GGGAUUUGUGUGUGGGCAGAGGAUGGGGUGUGUGGGUGCUGGGGAAAACCCGGCUGAUCUCCUCACUGAUUCACUAUGACUGUGAUUCUGUGACUCAGAUCUUUGACUUCUCUCUGACGGAUGAGGAGAUGAAAGCAAUUGACGAGCUGAACAAGAACGUCCGUUACGUGGAGCUGCUGAUGUGGAGUGAUCACCCAGAGUACCCCUUUAGGGAGGAGUACUGAAAGGGGUGACAGUGAGACGAUCUGGGCUCCGUGACAUCUCCUGUCUGAUCGUCCACAUGAGUGAAGCAGAGCUGUUGGUGGGGAAAUGGAGUGAGAGUGAAGUGCGAUAGGACCAGAAAAGAUCGUUCCCCUCAUAUUCAGUGAUACGUGACAACAAUUGGUCACUGAGGCUACUCCCAAGAUCAAUGUCUUCCCAAUCCCCCUCCCCUUCACUCACACGCCCCUUCACUCUCUCACACUUUCAUACACUCACACAUCCUUUCACAUUCUCAUACAUGCAUACAGCUCUUCACUUUCUCAUACUCUCAUACACUCACACAUUCUUUCACUCUCUCACAGACUGUCUCACACUCACACAUCCUUUCACUCGCACACUCUCUCACACUCAUACACUCACACAUCCUUUCACUCGCACACUCUCUCACACUCAUACACUCACACAUCCUUUCACUCGGACACACACAUCUUUUCACUUUUUCUCACACGCACACAUCCUUUCACUCUCACUCUGUCUCAUUCUUUCUUAUACUCUCUCUUACACAAUCUAACUCCCUCCCAUUCUCUUGGAUCUCUCUCUCACGGUCUCUUACUCUCACUCUCUCUGUCUCUCUCACUACCCAUGCCCUAUUGUGUUAGUUAAAGGCAUUUAUGACGUUCAAUGUGUUUUAUUUUUCUCAUAAUUAAAAUAAAACUUGUUUAUUCAA